CCUUUUUCAGGUAUUGAUGAAGAGAGGAAGAGCAACUAUUUAGAGAAGGAGGCAUGCACCAUCAAAAAAAGCAAAACAUGAUUGUGCAGACACUGUGAUUGGGAACUGGCACUUGAGAGGGAUAAGUGGUGGAGAAAAGAGAAAGGUUAGCAUUGCCUUGGAGAUCUUGAUGAGGCCUAGAUUGCUCUUCCUUGAUGAACCUACAAGUGGACUUGACAGGUUCACAUACCCUUGGUUUUACUUCUUGUUGGGAUCCAAUUGUGCUUUUUUUCACGCCAAUUCUCCACCACUGGGCCAAUUCUCCACCUGGUACUAAGGAGACUAUUGGACUUUGGCAAGAAACUUCCUUCUCCUGAUGCUCUUCUCAUCAAUGGGCAAAGAGAUUCUGCUGUCUUUACCGAUCAAGCAGGGAAGACUUACAAAUCAGAGUGUCCAAUGUUGGGUUAACAACAUCAAUCAACUUCAGGAUUCAAGGCCACUCAUUGAAACUGAUUGAAGUUGAAGGUGCUCACAUAUUACAGGACAUAUAUGAGUCUCUUGAUAUUCAUGUGGGUCAAUCAGUGGUACAGUUGAACAAUACACUUUGAGUUUAUGUUUUAAAUUAUAAUUGAUGUAUCAACACACUUUGAUGUAUGGUUGUUACUUAUUAUUAUAGUUGAUGUAUCAAUACACUUUGUUUAUGUUUUGAAUUA